UUGGAACAUCAGGACUCUGAUCUGCCUGCAAACCCAAAGGAGUUAAAUAAAACUUUGGGCAGCUUUUCUACAUAAGGGCAUGAUUUCGGGUUGCUUGUUAUGAUAGCCUUGCAAUACCAGUUGUUACCUGGCAUGGGCGGAUGUAUAACUCUGUAUUUUCAUUGGAAUCACACUCAUGUAUUCUCUGCUCAGUGAGUUCUGGAGUACUGGAGGUUUAACAUGUCCUUUGCAUUCUCUGUGGUAUUUCGAAAAAUAUCAGCUGAAUCAUUGUAACCCAAGGAAAAUAGUUACCUCCCAGAUUUGUCUCAAGUUCCCCUCCUAUUAGGGCAUCCAAACUAUGUGAAAACUUCGGUUUUGGCUUGAGCCAAGAGCAGUCGCACAUAGAGCUGAACAUUAGUGCAAACUAAUUACACCAUCCUCAGCUUCCCGGCAGUGAAAGAAAAGAGGAGUUAUCAGAGGAUGAGCCAAGAGAAUGACCUGGUUUCCCAACGUUGUGCACAGAGAGAGACAUAAGCUGCGGCUGAUGAGGAAUGCUAAUGGCAUCGUGCAGCUGGCAUCCCGCGCUGGAGGGAGAAGCCGCAGUGACAGCCUGGUACUGCCAUCAGAGGAAAUCAGCGCCUGUCUAGCGGGAAGCAGAGCUGCAUGCUUUCUCAUCACUGUCCUGAGGGAUUUCACUGCAGCACUUUAUUAUUACCUUUAUUUUAUACUUCGCUCAUGCGGUCAUGAAGAAUGACAUGUGAUUCAAAUCUCCCUUAUGGGACUCUGGCAAAUGGUAACAGUAUGUGGGCCCCAUGGCUUUGUGGUGUCACCGUCCCACGGAAGCUCCUCUGAGGUGUGGUAGGAGGAGACAAUUUGCCCCACGGACAGCAGCAGUAACCACGUCUGCUUCCCAUGAUUUCUGCCUUAUUUUUUGCACUGCAGAAACCCUAUCUCACCUUAUCCCAUCCCCAUCUCUCUCCUUCUCUGCAGCCCCAGGUUCCCUCCAUAUCCCCUUGCCCAGAGUAGCCUGCCAAGGGCUGGCCAGGGAGGAGGCAGUGCGUGCUGAGGCUGGUCCAGGCCAUUGCUGUUUGGCUGAACAGAGCAGAUGAUCACUGAACUCCUGCUGACACUUCAUCUCGGUACAAGUAGCCACCCUGCUGCAGAAAAAAAUGAUAAGCAGAAUAAAAAGCAGAAGACAAGACCUGCUGCAGGUGGGUCAUUUUAACAUGACUCCCUAGAAAAAGUUGACUGCUGCCCUGGAGAAUGCAGAAAUUUUGGAGUGCUAAAAUCACAGAGCUGUGUCUGACCAGAGAUGAGUGGAAGGGAGACUGAGCUGCUGAGAGGAAUCCCCUGCACAACAAGGAGCAAGAAAACAUGGAGCUCAGAAAAUGUGGGAAGGGGGACUAGGAUGAGAAAAAAAAUCCCUGAGGAAUUAGAUAAAUAGAAAGGAAAAAAAACAGUAGGGAAAUGGCAGAAGAGUGUAAGAUUUAGAGCUGUGCCUAGUGGGGCUGUAGCCAGGUGCAGGUGGAUGGGAAGGGAGGAAGGACUGGGAGAGCAAGGAAGGUUUGGGAGGGGGCAAACAAGUGUGUGGGGAGUGACUGUGGCAGACCACCCUGGCUUGCUGUUAUUAAGGUAGCCACAGAAAGGGGAAAUAAUUGCUUACUUAUGUAACCACUGAUGUUAUGAAAGAAUUUUCUCUAAUAAAACCCAGAAUUUACUGUGCCUGCAUUAUUUUGAAA